rnacentral:rRNA from 1 species
CUUGGGGGAAUGUACAAAAAACGUUUUUAUAAAAUUCUAGGAUAGAAAACUGAUAAUGACUAAUAUCUAUCUACCAGUCUUGACCAACUAACGUGCCAGCUGUCGCGGUAAGACGUUAAAGACAAGUGUUAUUCAUCUUUAUUUGGUUUAAAGGGUACCUAGACAGUAAAUCAAGCCUUAAUAGGAACUAAUUUUCUAGAGUUUUAUGGAAGAGGCUCGAAUAUCUAUAGCGAGGAGUGUUAAUAUACUGUGAUACCGGGUGGACGGGUAACGGCGUAGGCAAGUUUCUAUGUAAAAACUGACGUUGAGGGACGAAGCCCCGGGGAGCGAUAAGGAUUAGAUACCCCAAUAGUCCGGGGAGACAAUUAUGAGUGCCAUAGACUAAAUACGGUAGUUUAUAAAUGAAAGUGCAAGCAUUCCACCUCAAGACUAAAGCGGCGAACGCCCAAAUUGAAAUCAUUAGACCAUUAUCUGAAACCAGUAGUGAAGUAUGUUAUUUAAUUCGAUGAUCCGCGAAUAACCUUACCACGUUUUGAAUAUUUAAAGGUAAACAUACUUAUAUUUUACUAUUAAAUAUCUUACAAGUGUUGCACGGCUGUCUUUAGUUAAUGUCGUGAGACUUAGGUUAAUUCCAUAAAUUAGCGAAAACCCUUGCUUUAUUAUAUUAAAGCUGUUCUCCGUUAUAUUGGAUUAGAUAAUAGGGGAUUAAGACAAGUCAUCAUGGCCUUAAUAACGUG